GGUGAGGAGGGUGAGGAGGAUGCGCGGCGGGGCGGCCGCGGCGGAGCCGAGCGAGCUGCCGCCGCCGCUGGCAGGCAUAGUGCUAUUAUAGCGAGCAGCCUUGCCGGUCGGCUGCACUGAGCCAAUGGCAGGGAGCCACUGGGCUGGUACCGAGCGCUGUCAGAGGAGGACAUCUGUCACACGCCGCCUCCACCGCCACCCACCGCCCCACGCCCCGCUGCCCCCGCCGCGGACGGGCCGCCGGCAGGCACCUCCACCUGCCCGGCCGGAGCAGCCCCCCCGCUCCCCAUCGGCCGCCGCUCUCGGCUCCUGUGGCCCGUGACAGUGCAAUUGGGGAAAACCGGUCAUUCCCCAUCCUCGCUCGGGUGGCACUGCUUCCUAGAAACAUCUCGGAGAAGGGUUUGGCUGUUUCCUGCCCGCUCUGCACAUCCCCUGGGAUGAUGAGGCAGGGAGGAUUUCCCACACUUAUCUCCGGCGUGUCUCCUGCGUCAGGCUGUUCUGUGACUCUGCAAAGCUCACUGCACAUCCUGGGGCUGUGCCAAGCCUGCCUGGGAACACACACUCCCAACCAGCUCCUCAUGCCACUACCAAAACCACCCAACCUUACAGAAACACGCUGCUGACUACACUCUGAAAUACGUCUUGGUGUGAAAAAGCUUCAGAGAAGUAAAAAUUUCAGCAGAAUCUGACCUUUCCUUGGACAUGCUUCAAGAUUUACUGCAAUGUUAUGUUCCAGUUAUAGAAACACCCCAAAUGAAUAAGCAGAUAUUUAAAUUUUACAGAUGCCACCCUAAGGAAAAAAUGUAGUUAAACAUAAAUGGCAUGAUUACCUAAUGGGCAUAGCAAAAUGUUAGAAAAAUGAAGUGUUUGGAUAAAACAGCAACGAUUAAUUUUUCAUUUAAUUUUUUUUUCUCAAAUAUAACAUGCUUCUGGAGAUCAUACUUAGUGAACAUACUCGUGGUUCCAGGCCCACACAUUAUUUUAAUUCCAUAAGGUGCGUGGGAGGUUUUUAAAAUCCACAUAAUUUUGUGUUAUUUUCUUUUUACAUGUUAAGUUAUUAUCAUCAGAUGGAGGAGAAAUUAAACAUUCUGAAUGUGUUAAAAGCCUUGGUCUUCUUGACUCCUAUUACCAACUGCUAACUAUUGCUAAAUUCAUCCAUUUUUGGAACAUGAACAACCUUGAUAACAUCAGAUGAAGACAAAAAAAUAGAGCUUUGGCAAAUCCUGUGAAUUCAAUUCCGGUAUCUCGGAACACCGUGUAAAGCUCUUGACUGGCUUUGCAAAUGGAACUCACUAUAUUAAUACUGAAGCUAGCUCAUUUCCUAACUUUGCUAAGAGCAGCCAGAACCAUAGUCAUGCUGCAAUAGUGAGGAACUAAAUAAAAUCCAGGCUAUGAAUAUAGCUGUGAUUUGUUUUUUCCUGAGAAAGGUUUUGCAAAAAAUAUUCCUAAAAAACUUUGUAUCUAGUCGUCCUUUCCUUUGGGGGUGCAUUAUAUAUGAUAUUUCCUCCUUUUUCUGAGAGUAGGCAGUAAAAGCCAUCUUUUCCAUCACCUUAAUUAUUGGGCUUUUAAGAUGACCAGAAUUAAAAAGCAUUUCUUUCUUUAUGCAGUCCUUAUUUUGACAUACGGUCCUGCACAGAGCACUUGGAUUUCAUCACCACUCAGACACACUGCAAUAAAGAUGCUUAAUGAGCAGCAA